GGCUAAGCCAGAACAUCUGUGUUUCUUUCACGCAAUAGCAUGUUUGAAGUCCUACUAAGCUAAAGAAGUAUGAUGCAUAGGGUGUUGGAACAGAAUAAGAUCACAGAACAUAGCAAACCGCUAAACCAUGUGUGCGUGAUUUUGCUCACCUAUCAUUAGUUUGACUUGCGCAAAUGGUAUUUGGAGGAAAGACAUGAUUAUCGUCUUGAUGAAGUAUAGAACGGGGUUGUCUUAUCAUUGAGCCAGGGAGAAUCCAAAUUGUAGUCAGUGUCGAUUAUUUGAUUGAGCGAACCUGCAUAUGAAGACAGACAAACAAGUUUACCAUUUCGUCAUUAAUAAGCAUCAAACAUACUCCAGUAGCAGAUAAAAAAAAUAUGAUGUGUCUGAAAACCUUAAAAGCAGCAAGACCAAUAAUGCACUACUGAGAACAAGUUUGACAUAUGAACUGAAAACAUUGCAACUCACAAGUGCAAAGUCUCUCAGACACCAUGUGUUACAUUUCCUCUCAGCAGUAGUGAAGUUUAUAACCAAAUUCUAUAUCAAUUAUGCAAGAGAGUCAUGACCAAUUUAAUAAAAUAAUAAAAAAUAUUGAAUUUGCAUAGAUAAACAACCAAAAACAUUACUAAACAGAAAAAAGCAGAACAGAGACAAAAUACAGAAUUUUGGAACUGAAAGGAAAAUGCAAACUCAAGCAUUUGCAAUUUGAAUUUCAAAAUGCUCCCAGGCACAUUCCCCAAGAAUAUGACCUAACCUAUCUUCCAUUCCCUUUCCCUCUCCGGUGAUCCUUCUGAUCACCGGGAUUAACCCCUCUCGUCCUCCUUCUCUUCUUUAUCUCUCCCUCCUCUUUCUUCUGAUACCCACUUCUCCAUUGAUUCUCAUCCCUCUUCUCUAUCUUCUCUCUUCUGAAACCCUUUUCACCAUUGAUCUGAUGGAAGAAGACACCAUUUACUUUGUUGUGGGCUUCAAGUCUUUUGAUGUCUCAAGAAUUUCAGGUACACAGGGGGACUUGUACCAAUGGACCGAAAGGAGUAGGAAGUGCAUCACUAGAACCCAGUUUACCAAGAGAACAAUGAUAUGGUUGAUACAAAGGCUGAAAGAAGCUUCUUUGGUGAAAGGGAACUCGGUCAGAAGGUGGAAGAGGAGAGAAAUUUUCUCUGAAACUUAUUGUGCAAGGAAUUUCAACAAGUCUGGACGAUACAUCAGCAUCAUAAACUUGAAAGGCAGAGGAAGAUCAGUGUUGAUAAUCCCUAAAAUAACCUUUAACUCAGG
rnacentral:lncRNA from 1 species